AGUGAACGCUGGCGGUAGGCCUAACACAUGCAAGUCGAACGGCAGCACAGUAAGAGCUUGCUCUUACGGGUGGCGAGUGGCGGACGGGUGAGGAAUACAUCGGAAUCUACUUUUUCGUGGGGGAUAACGUAGGGAAACUUACGCUAAUACCGCAUACGACCUACGGGUGAAAGCAGGGGAUCUUCGGACCUUGUGCGGAUGAAUGAGCCGAUGUGGGAUUAGUUAGUUGGCGGGGUAAAUGCCCACCAAGGCGAGGAUACGUGGCCGGUCUGGGUGGCUGGUAGGCGGCCUUAGAGCUGAAACACGCACCAUACGCCUGAGGGAGGCACCAGUGGGGUAUAGUAGGCAGUAGGCGCAAGUCUGAUCCAGUCAGACGGCGUGGGUGAAGAAGGCCUUGGGGUUGUAAAGACCGUUUGUGGGGAGAGAAAAGCAGCAGGUUAAUACGCAGCGGUUGUGACGGUAACCAAAGAAUAAGCACCGGCUAACUACGUG
rnacentral:rRNA from 1 species